UUUGGGCAAUGGGCGAAAGCCUGACCCAGCAACGCCGCGUGCAGGAUGAAGUAUUUCGGUAUGUAAACUUCGAAAGAAUGGGAAGAAUAAAUGACGGUACCAUUUAUAAGGUCCGGCUAACUACGUUCCAGCAGCCGCGGUAAUACGUAGGGACCAAGCGUUGUUCGGAUUUACUGGGCGUAAAGGGCGCGUAGGCGGUCUGACAGGUCACUUGUGAAAUCUCCGAGCUUAACUCGGAACGGCCAAGUGAAACCAACAGGCUAGAGUGCAGAAGGGGCAAUCGGAAUUCUUGGUGUAGCGGUGAAAUGCGUAGAUAUCAAGAGGAACACCUGAGGUGAAGACGGGUUGCUGGGCUGACACUGACGCUGAGGCGCGAAAGCCAGGGGAGCAAACGGG
rnacentral:rRNA from 1 species